GACGAACGCUGGCGGCGUGCUUAACACAUGCAAGUCGAGCGGUAAGGCUCCUUCGGGGGUACACGAGCGGCGAACGGGUGAGUAACACGUGAGUAAUCUGCCCUUCACUUCGGGAUAAGCCUCGGAAACGGGGUCUAAUACCGGAUACGACACUCCUUCGCAUGAGGUGGGUGUGGAAAGUUUUUCGGUGGGGGAUGUGCUCGCGGCCUAUCAGCUUGUUGGUGGGGUAAUGGCCUACCAAGGCUUCGACGGGUAGCCGGCCUGAGAGGGUGACCGGCCACACUGGGACUGAGACACGGCCCAGACUCCUACGGGAGGCAGCAGUGGGGAAUAUUGGACAAUGGGCGGAAGCCUGAUCCAGCAACGCCGCGUGAGGGAUGACGGCCUUCGGGUUGUAAACCUCUUUCAGUACCGACGAAGCGAAAGUGACGGUAGGUACAGAAGAAGCACCGGCCAACUACGUGCCAGCAGCCGCGGUAAUACGUAGGGUGCGAGCGUUGUCCGGAAUUAUUGGGCGUAAAGGGCUCGUAGGCGGUUUGUCACGUCGGGAGUGAAAACACUGGGCUUAACUCAGUGCUUGCUUUCGAUACGGGCAGACUAGAGGCAUGCAGGGGAGAACGGAAUUCCUGGUGUAGCGGUGAAAUGCGCAGAUAUCAGGAGGAACACCGGUGGCGAAGGCGGUUCUCUGGGCAUGUCCUGACGCUGAGGAGCGAAGUGUGGGGAGCGAACAGGAU
rnacentral:rRNA from 1 species